rnacentral:rRNA from 2 species
AGAGAUUGAACAUAAGAGUUUGAUCCUGGCUCAGAUUGAACGCUGGCGGCAUGCUUUACACAUGCAAGUCGGACGGCAGCACAGAGAAGCUUGCUUCUUGGGUGGCGAGUGGCGAACGGGUGAGUAACAUAUCGGAACGUACCGAGUAGUGGGGGAUAACUGAUCGAAAGAUCAGCUAAUACCGCAUACGUCUUGAGAGGGAAAGCAGGGGACCUUCGGGCCUUGCGCUAUUCGAGCGGCCGAUAUCUGAUUAGCUAGUUGGUGGGGUAAAGGCCUACCAAGGCGACGAUCAGUAGCGGGUCUGAGAGGAUGAUCCGCCACACUGGGACUGAGACACGGCCCAGACUCCUACGGGAGGCAGCAGUGGGGAAUUUUGGACAAUGGGCGCAAGCCUGAUCCAGCCAUGCCGCGUGUCUGAAGAAGGCCUUCGGGUUGUAAAGGACUUUUGUCAGGGAAGAAAAGGCUGUUGCUAAUAUCAGCGGCUGAUGACGGUACCUGAAGAAUAAGCACCGGCUAACUACGUGCCAGCAGCCGCGGUAAUACGUAGGGUGCGAGCGUUAAUCGGAAUUACUGGGCGUAAAGCGGGCGCAGACGGUUACUUAAGCAGGAUGUGAAAUCCCCGGGCUCAACCCGGGAACUGCGUUCUGAACUGGGUGACUCGAGUGUGUCAGAGGGAGGUAGAAUUCCACGUGUAGCAGUGAAAUGCGUAGAGAUGUGGAGGAAUACCGAUGGCGAAGGCAGCCUCCUGGGACAACACUGACGUUCAUGCCCGAAAGCGUGGGUAGCAAACAGGAUUAGAUACCCUGGUAGUCCACGCCCUAAACGAUGUCAAUUAGCUGUUGGGCAACUUGAUUGCUUAGUAGCGUAGCUAACGCGUGAAAUUGACCGCCUGGGGAGUACGGUCGCAAGAUUAAAACUCAAAGGAAUUGACGGGGACCCGCACAAGCGGUGGAUGAUGUGGAUUAAUUCGAUGCAACGCGAAGAACCUUACCUGGUCUUGACAUGUACGGAAUCCUCCAGAGACGGAGGAGUGCCUUCGGGAGCCGUAACACAGGUGCUGCAUGGCUGUCGUCAGCUCGUGUCGUGAGAUGUUGGGUUAAGUCCCGCAACGAGCGCAACCCUUGUCAUUAGUUGCCAUCAUUCAGUUGGGCACUCUAAUGAGACUGCCGGUGACAAGCCGGAGGAAGGUGGGGAUGACGUCAAGUCCUCAUGGCCCUUAUGACCAGGGCUUCACACGUCAUACAAUGGUCGGUACAGAGGGUAGCCAAGCCGCGAGGCGGAGCCAAUCUCACAAAACCGAUCGUAGUCCGGAUUGCACUCUGCAACUCGAGUGCAUGAAGUCGGAAUCGCUAGUAAUCGCAGGUCAGCAUACUGCGGUGAAUACGUUCCCGGGUCUUGUACACACCGCCCGUCACACCAUGGGAGUGGGGGAUACCAGAAGUAGGUAGGGUAACCGCAAGGAGUCCGCUUACCACGGUAUGCUUCAUGACUGGGGUGAAGUCGUAACAAGGUAGCCGUAGGGGAACCUGCGGCUGGAUCACCUCCUUUCUAGAG